rnacentral:rRNA from 1 species
UACGUAGGGGGCAAGCGUUGUCCGGAAUCAUUGGGCGUAAAGAGCGUGUAGGCGGCUCGGUAAGUCUGCUGUGAAAGUCCAGGGCUCAACCCUGGAAGGCCGGUGGAAACUGUCGGGCUAGAGUCCGGAAGAGGCGAGUGGAAUUCCCGGUGUAGCGGUGAAAUGCGCAGAUAUCGGGAGGAACACCAAUGGCGAAGGCAGCUCGCUGGGCCGGUACUGACGCUGAGACGCGAAAGCGUGGGGAGCAAACAGG